rnacentral:piRNA from 1 species
UUGAGUGGAGCUCAGAGAUAGAGACUAA